rnacentral:rRNA from 1 species
AUUGAACGCUGGCGGCAUGCCUUACACAUGCAAGUCGAACGGUAACAGGCCGCAAGGUGCUGACGAGUGGCGAACGGGUGAGUAAUGCAUCGGAACGUGCCCAGUAGUGGGGGAUAGCCCGGCGAAAGCCGGAUUAAUACCGCAUACGACCUGAGGGUGAAAGGGGGGGAUCGCAAGACCUCUCGCUAUUGGAGCGGCGGAUGUCAGAUUAGCUAGUUGGUGGGGUAAAGGCCUACCAAGGCAACGAUCUGUAGUUGGUCUGAGAGGACGACCAGCCACACUGGGACUGAGACACGGCCCAGACUCCUACGGGAGGCAGCAGUGGGGAAUUUUGGACAAUGGGCGCAAGCCUGAUCCAGCAAUGCCGCGUGCAGGAAGAAGGCCUUCGGGUUGUAAACUGCUUUUGUCAGGGAAGAAAUCUUCUGGGUUAAUACCUCGGGAGGAUGACGGUACCUGAAGAAUAAGCACCGGCUAACUACGUGCCAGCAGCCGCGGUAAAAC